rnacentral:tRNA from 2 species
GCGCCCGUAGCUCAAUUGGAUAGAGCGUCUGACUACGGAUCAGAAGGUUGGGGGUUCAAAUCCCUCCGGGCGCA